CAUUAAAAAGUUGAUUGUUAAAUUCAAUUUAAUUUGAAUUUAAAAAUUUAUAUAAUAGUUAUAAACAAAGUAAUUUUUUAUUUUAGUAAUUACAAAGAAAAAAUAAGUUUUUAUAAUAGUAAAUUAGUAUAGUGAUAGAAUGUUUUAUAAUAUUAAAAAGAAAAAUUUACUUUUUGUACCUUGGGUAUCAGGGUUUAUUAAUAAAAUAGUAAAAAUUUAAUGUUCUCGAUUUUAAAAGAGUUAAUAAUUUAUUGAUUUUAUUAUUUAAUAAAUAUUUAAAAUAAGUUAUUAGUAGUGAGAUGUUAUUCGAUUUUAAAUAUAUCUAGUUUUUAAAGAGAAAAAUUUAAUUUUAUUUAUAUGAGUUUAAUUUUAAUAAAUUAAAAUUUUAAUUAAAUAUAUAAAUUAAUAAGUUAGGGAUUAGCUUAAUUUAUGGUCAAUUAAAAAUUUAUAUAAUAGAAGAAUAAUAUAUAGGAUUAGAAGUUUUCAUUAUAUAGUAUGUUAUAGUUAAUUAUUAUUUAAUAAAAAUUUAUAUAAAUUUUAAUUAUUUUAUUUAAAUGUAAAAAUUAAUUAUUAAAUUUUUAGUAAUAAUGAUGAAAUUAGUAUAAUUUUAUGUAAUAUUAAAUUUAAAAGUAAUGUUAUUUAAAGGAAUUCGGCAAAUAUAUUUUUCGCCUGUUUAAUAAAAACAUGUCUUUUUGAUUUUAAUUUAAAGUUUAACCUGCUCAAUGAUUUUAGAUUAAAUAGCUGCAGUAUACUGACUGUACAAAGGUAGCAUAAUCAUUAGUUUUUUAAUUGAAAGCUGGAAUGAAAGGUUGGACGAGAAAAUAACUGUCUCUAGUAAAAUUUAUUAGAAUUUUAUUUUUAAGUUAAAAAGCUUAAAUUGUUUUAAAAGACGAGAAGACCCUAUAGAGUUUUAUAUUAAAAUAAUUAAAUUAUUAAUUUGUUUUAUAAAAGUAUUUAAUUAUGUAAUAUUUGGUUGGGGUGAUUUUAAAAUUUAAAAAACUUUUUAUUAUUAUUAACAUUAAUAAAUGAAUUAAUUGAUCCAUAUAUUUAUGAUUAAAAGAUUAAAUUACCUUAGGGAUAACAGCGUAAUUUUUUUUUAGAGUUCUAAUCGAUAAAAAAGUUUGCGACCUCGAUGUUGGAUUAAAAUAAAUUUUUGGUGUAGGAGCUAAAAUAUUAAGUCUGUUCGACUUUUAAAAUUUUACAUGAUCUGAGUUUAAACCGGUGUGAGCCAGGUUGGUUUCUAUCUUUAAGUUAAUAUUGAUAUAUUUUAGUACGAAAGGACCAAAUAUACAAAAAAUUUUUAUUUUAAGAUGAAUAUUAGUAAUUUAAAUUUAGAAUAAAAAUUAUUUUGGCAGAAUAGUGCAUUAAAU
rnacentral:rRNA from 1 species